GUCAGGAGGCUGACACAGGGAUCAGCGAGGGGGGUGUGUUGUCAGGUGUCUGACACACGGGCUAGUGAGGGGUGUGUGUUGUCAGGUGUCUGACACACGGGCUGAGGGGUGUGUGUUGUCAGGUGUCUGACACACGGGCUGGUGAGGGUGUGUGCUGUCAGGUGUCUGACACACGGGCUAGUGGGGUGUGUGUUGUCAGGUGUCUGACACACGGGCUAGUGAGGGGUGUGUGUUGUCAGGUGUCUGACAC